rnacentral:rRNA from 1 species
GACGAACGCUGGCGGCGUGCUUAACACAUGCAAGUCGAACGCUGAAGCUCAGCUUUUGUUGGGUGGAUGAGUGGCGAACGGGUGAGUAACACGUGAGUAACCUGCCCCCUUCUUUGGGAUAACGCCCGGAAACGGGUGCUAGUACUGGAUAUUCACUGGUCUUCGCAUGGGGGUUGGUGGAAAGGGUUUUUCUGGUGGGGGAUGGGCUCGCGGCCUAUCAGCUUGUUGGUGGGGUGAUGGCCUACCAAGGCUUUGACGGGUAGCCGGCCUGAGAGGGUGACCGGUCACAUUGGGACUGAGAUACGGCCCAGACUCCUACGGGAGGCAGCAGUGGGGAAUAUUGCACAAUGGGCGCAAGCCUGAUGCAGCGACGCCGCGUGAGGGAUGGAGGCCUUCGGGUUGUGAACCUCUUUCGCUCAUGGUCAAGCCGCAACAAUGGUUGUGGUGAGGGUAGUGGGUAAAGAAGCGCCGGCUAACUACGUG